rnacentral:rRNA from 1 species
UACAGAGGUCCCAAGCGUUGUUCGGAUUCAUUGGGCGUAAGGGGUGCGUAGGCGGCGCGGUAAGUCGGGUGUGAAAUCUCGGGGCUUAACUCCGAAACUGCAUUCGAUACUGCCGUGCUUGAGGACUGGAGAGGAGACUGGAAUUUACGGUGUAGCGGUGAAAUGCGUAGAUAUCGUAAGGAAGACCAGUGGCGAAGGCGGGUCUCUGGACAGUUCCUGACGCUGAGGCACGAAGGCCAGGGGAGCAAACGGG